UGGGGAAUAUUGCACAAUGGGCGCAAGCCUGAUGCAGCCAUGCCGCGUGUAUGAAGAAGGCCUUCGGGUUGUAAAGUACUUUCAGCGGGGAGGAAGGUGUUGUGGUUAAUAACCACAGCAAUUGACGUUACCCGCAGAAGAAGCACCGGCUAACUCCGUGCCAGCAGCCGCGGUAAUACGGAGGGUGCAAGCGUUAAUCGGAAUUACUGGGCGUAAAGCGCACGCAGGCGGUCUGUCAAGUCGGAUGUGAAAUCCCCGGGCUCAACCUGGGAACUGCAUCCGAAACUGGCAGGCUUGAGUCUUGUAGAGGGGGGUAGAAUUCCAGGUGUAGCGGUGAAAUGCGUAGAGAUCUGGAGGAAUACCGGUGGCGAAGGCGGCCCCUGGACAAAGACUGACGCUCAGGUGCGAAAGCGUGGGGAGCAAACA
rnacentral:rRNA from 1 species